CGCAUGUAUAGCGGCAAAACUAUCUCAGAGGUUCGUUGUUUAACCCAUAUUUCUCUGUUAAAAGACCUUUAAAACAAACUGUAAACAUGUUGUCUUCGACAUAGCAUAGAUUUGCGAAAUCUGUGUCUUCUUUUUUUAUGUUGAUUUUUUUCUUUGCAGGAACCGCAGUAUUUCCGGCGUCGUGUUGUAACUUCGUUGCUACAGUUAUUUUUUUUCAAAAUUAAAGAAAACAUCAGUAUCAAAAUUUUAAAUUGUGAUUCAAGAGAAACAAUAACUUUAUCCAAUUUUUUUUCCAAGUGUGUGUAUCAGUGUAUCAGCACAUGAAUUUGAUAAAUCAGUUCUAUUUAUACACAGUGUUUACAGUUUUACGGGCAAAAAGGUUAGAUCGAUUGCGUUUUUAAUUGUAGUGUGAACGCAGUGGUUCAUAUUAGACCAAUAGAGAUUGAUAUGAUUAAAGAUAAUGUGAAC
rnacentral:lncRNA from 1 species